UCCGUAGGUGAACCUGCGGAAGGAUCAUUACAAAUUAUGGCGAACUUUGCGUUUCGCGAGGUUUUGCGUCCAAAUAUAUAUUUAAAACAUCCCACUCUUUAAAAAAGAAAGAUUAUCUAAUGAUAAAUAAAAAGAUCACUUUCAACAACGGAUCUCUUGGUUCUCGCAUCGAUGAAGAACGUAGCGAAGUGCGAUAUGUAGUGUGAAUUGCAGAAUUCCGUGAAUCAUCGAAUUUUUGAACGCAAAUUGCACUCUCCUCGGAGAGUAUGCCUGUUUGAGGGUCAGCCUAAAAAAAUCGACAUAGUUGCUGUUUCGCGGUGACAUUCGUCGGAAAUUGGGUCAUCUUAAACCUUUUGGUUUUAAGCGGCUUAAAAUUUUCUUUACGAUUCCACGAACGUUUCUAAGAUUUAUUUCUUACACGUUUAAGGGUAAUCGAUUUUUAUUAGACGUGGCCGUCACAUCGGAUCGCGUCCAUAAAUAUUUCGUUAACUGACCUCAGACAGGUAAGAGUACCCGCUGAACUUAAGCAUAUCAAUAAGCGGAGGAAGUCGACUGCCAAGGGGCACACAGGGGGGGAUA
rnacentral:rRNA from 1 species